AAACUAUAUUAGCCGUCAAAUUCAUUAGCUUUUUAAAAUACAUAUUACUUUUCUUUGAAAGAUUUUUAUAAAUUAUUUAAAUGCUCUAUACACGUUUCAACAACAAUUAUUUAAAAGUAAUCAUAUAGCUCCAUCUAGUGGUGGUCAUGAUUUGUAUUACACACUGCACGUUUGGUGUUGCUAUCUGAACCAGUCAGAAUGAAGGGCGCCUACAUGGAGCGCGAGAACAGAACAUAUGCCUCCGUAAAUCCAGGUUCACACGCUCUCUGUUAAUGCGUAUUUUUUCCGAGCCCAUGUUAAUGGAUCAGAGCGUUCACACUGCACACGGUAAAGGAUGUGAACAAAAAAGGUUAGAAAUAGAAAGGUGCGAAAAGAAUGAAUAUCUAGCGCAUGAGCAUAGAGAGUUGUGAGUGCACAGGACACAGUUUGAGCAGAGGAAACUCGUUUUAAUUGUGCGCACUGAGCGAAAUCAGCAUGUAUCUGAGCACGCGUGUCUGGUUUUAAGCGUGCCAACAAAGAGAUUCGCGCUCGCGCAUUAUUUAAUGUGCUUUCGCGUUACAAUAACUCGCUCUCGCUCCUGCUUCUGUACCGCAUACACAUACUGCAUACGCACUGCAGACAGAGUACGUGUGAACCUGUAUAAUGUAUAACAAAUCUAUUUCAACACCUGAGGCACCGCUACAAUGAGCUCUAUGACCAAUGCAUGGCAAGAAAACAUCCCUAAUAAUUCAGCACUCCUGAAUAUAAGGAGUUUUUCACUUCCAGCCUUCAAGGACAAUUAUAUAUCACUCAUAAAUGAUUAAAUAACAAAUGUAUAGUAUUUAUUAAGAUUGAUGUGAUUUGGAAUAGGUAAAAUGUACUUGGAAAAAAAUAUCACCAGAAUAUCAGUGUGACUAAUUAUUAUGCACUCGGUGAAAAAGCAUUUUUAACAAUUUUAUUGAUCUAUAAGCAU
ensembl:lncRNA